AUGCCACCUUCCGUGCACGACACGGAAGGCCUGCCGUUCAUCAAGCAUGGUUGUGUCUUCAGUGCGCACCACCGGAUGAACGACAUCCUGGGACACACUAUCCCUGAUUUAUAUCGCUUCAGCUUGGAUGAGUCUCCAUCGUGUGGAACCGGACUAGAAAGCUGCGACAAUGAUUCCCGUUGCCCACCGCUAUGGAUCGUGCCAUCCAUGAAGAACACCUGUGACUGGAACCUGGAGGAGGACAUUAGACGCAAAUGCGCUAGCUUUCAUGAUUCCAGGACCUGGAAUCAUACCAGCCGAUGGUCGAAGAAGGAUUGGCCGGUGUUGCCGGCUGGCGUCAAGUUCGAUCACACGGAUCAGGAGCUGAUCGAGCACCUUCAGGCCAAAGUGAGUGCUGACAGCGCAAGAUCUCACCCUCUCAUCGAUUUGUUCAUACCAACCAUCGACAGCGAGCACGACAUAUGCUACACCCAACCUGAGAAACUUCCAGGUAUCACACUCAGUGGCCUACGGAAGCAUUUCUUCCAGCGCAAUUCCAGGGCGUUUAAAAGGGGCACGUGGACGCGUUGCAAGAUACAGUCGGAGUGCGGCAUGCACGUGAUGUGGCACAAGACCGGCAAUACCUUGUCGAUGAUGGUCAACGGCCGGCAGACGGGCAGCAAAAAGGUCCAGGUGAUGCACACCAAUAAGAACUUUCACCAGCAGAAGACCAACUGGGUGAUGCACUAG
rnacentral:rRNA from 1 species